AGAUUGAACGCUGGCGGCAUGCCUUACACAUGCAAGUCGAACGGCAGCACGGAAGCAAUCCUGGUGGCGAGUGGCGAACGGGUGAGUAAUACAUCGGAACGUGCCCAAUCGUGGGGGAUAACGCAGCGAAAGCUGUGCUAAUACCGCAUAAGAUCUACGGAUGAAAGCAGGGGAUCGCAAGACCUUGCGCGAAUGGAGCGGCCGAUGGCAGAUUAGGUAGUUGGUGAGGUAAAGGCUCACCAAGCCUUCGAUCUGUAGCUGGUCUGAGAGGACGACCAGCCACGCUGGGACUGACGACGACCGGCCCAGGACCUCCGUACGGGAGGCAGCAGGUCGGGUAAUUUGGAACAAGUGGGACGAAAGCCUGACUCCAGCCAGUCGCCGCGUGCGAGG
rnacentral:rRNA from 1 species